ACGGGGCGACACUAACUGUAGCCGUAGCAGCGGCGGCAGCAGCAGCAACAAUCGAGUGUUAGCCAUGGCCACAUUUAAAUAAAUGGCCCACAUUUGUAUUGCUGACUAUUAGCUGAUGGCUCAGUGGUUUGCUCAAUUGUUGGCUGACAUAGAAAGGCAAGUGCCAAACCGGAAUGGCAUCGAUUACGAUAACAAUCAGAAGCAAUGCGGCAAGCGGAAACAAUUAGCAAACGGGCGUCGGUGACGACGACGACGACGGCGAAUUGGCAGCUUGCGAAUGUGGCGAGCAAAACAAAAGCGAAAAACCAAAAGACAGCCAGCUCACACACAGCUUGGGCAAUCAGAAUGGCAAUGCGAACGGGCAUGGAAAUGAAAAUGGCAGUGACAAGCAAAACAUCCGCCGGCGCAUAGCCAAAGCCAAAGUUAAAAGGUGUGUGUGUGUGUGUAAGGGUAAGGCAACGGAAGCCGCGGGCGGGACGGCAACCAUCAUCUGUGAUUUCAUUUCACACAGUGUACGAAAAAGUGGGGAAGCCAAUUGUGGAAGAACCCUUGAGUUUAGCCCAUUUGUCAUUUGCGUGCGUUAAUAGUUUUCCGGAACUCGUUUCAAGUGCUUCCGUCCAAGGAAGUGCGUAAAACCCAGCCAAGAAUCCGCCAAGGAAUCGAAUUCGUAUGAAGCCGCAAUUUUAAUUAUACCUGUGUGCAUGUGUGUGUGUGUGAAUGUGUGAGUGUGCCCAGUUCAUUGCCAGCAGCGCGUUAUUUCCCACGAACAGUGAAUUCGACGGGCGUAAACAAAUGAAAUGAAUCAACAAAUAUGAAAAAACAAAACAGAAAACUCUUUUCGCUGUUCUCUUUGUUUGCUCGCCAGGAAGCCACACACAAUGCCCCGCUUGGAAGCUGCCCCAAGAGCCACUUGUUGAGGUAACUCUGUGUUGGCGCAUAAUUCGAAUAAAUGCGCAAAGCAAAAGGAAGUAAACGCUUCACACGAACCCACAGGCUCCAGUCGCGGUUGCCCAACUCGAAGAUAUCCCUUACUCAACUGCGAGCUCUAUAUAUAUAAUACAAAAUAUACAAUGUGUAAUAUUCAAUCUAAGAUAACUUCUGUGUUUCUUGAUAAAUUGAUAUGAAUACAAUCAAUAGAA